AACGAACGCUGGCGGCAGGCCUGACACAUGCAAGUCGAACGCUGUAGCAAUACAGAGUGGCAGACGGGUGAGUAACGCGUGGGAACGUGCCCUUUGGUUCGGAAUAACCCAGGGAAACUUGGGCUAAUACCGGAUACGUCCGUGAGGAGAAAGAUUUAUCGCCAAAGGAUCGGCCCGCGUCGGAUUAGCUAGUUGGUGAGGUAAAGGCUCACCAAGGCGACGAUCCGUAGCUGGCUGAGAGGAUGACCA
rnacentral:rRNA from 1 species